rnacentral:rRNA from 1 species
GAUGAACGCUGGCGGCGUGCCUAAUACAUGCAAGUCGAGCGAACGGACGAGAAGCUUGCUUCUCUGAUGUUAGCGGCGGACGGGUGAGUAACUCGUGGAUAACCUACCUAUAAGACUGGGAUAACUUCGGGAAACCGGAGCUAAUACCGUAUAAUAUUUUGAACCGCAUGGUUCAAAAGUGAAAGACGGUCUUGCUGUCACUUAUGGAUGGAUCCGCGCUGCAUUAGCUAGUUGGUAAGGUAACGGCUUACCAAGGCAACGAUGCAUAGCCGACCUGAGAGGGUGAUCGGCCACACUGGAACUGAGACACGGUCCAGACUCCUACGGGAGGCAGCAGUAGGGAAUCUUCCGCAAUGGGCGAAAGCCUGACGGAGCAACGCCGCGUGAGUGAUGAAGGUCUUCGGAUCGUAAAACUCUGUUAUUAGGGAAGAACAUAUGUGUAAGUAACUGUGCACAUCUUGACGGUACCUAAUCAGAAAGCCACGGCUAACUACGUG